UGGACAUAUUAUUGUAUUCGACUGUAUUCACGGCGUGAAACAAGGGAUUAUACUGUUUUUAAACGGAAAGUGAAUCAAUUAACAUAAUAGACUCCU
rnacentral:pre_miRNA from 1 species